AUGUAGAUGAAGUAGUGGAGUAGCGAAUUGCAGAUGAUGAUGUCAUACUCAUCAAAGGAACUAAAACAACAGGGGUUGUGUCGAUAAUUCUGAGAGGUGCUAAUGACUUCAUGCUUGAUGAAAUGGAUAGGGCGGUACAUGAUGCUUUAUGUAUUGUCAAAAGAACCCUCGAAUCCAAUAUAGUGGUUGCAGGAGGGGGUGCAGUUGAGGCUGCUUUAUUUGUGUAUUUAGAGUACCUUGCUACAACUUUGGGGGUCCCGCAAACAGCUGGCGAUUGUAGAAUUUGCUGAGUCAUUGUUGAUAAUUCCAAAGGUUU